UGGGGCAGAGCCGCCGACACACCUCGGCCAGUGAAUGGUGCGCCGCCCGGGAAAAAUCCACCAUCCAGCAGAAUAUGGGAAAGUAUCAAAGGCCGCUCUUCCUCUCGUUCGGGGAGAAUGAUCUCACAUGAGAUGUGCGCGUGGCUUCUUCAUAACACUCAUUGUUGUUUGACAUUUCCGGCGUUAACUAAUCGGCAUUCUCUCUCUCUCUCUCUCUCUCUCUCUCUCUCUCUCUCUCUCUCUCUCUCUCUCUCUCUCUCUCUCUCUCUCUCUCUCUCUCUCUGUGUGUGUGCGCGCGCGCGUUUGGUUUCUUUCAGAAGAUUCAGAUCCAGGCGAGGCCUCCGUUCCCUGACUGCGCGCGCGGCGUUGCCUGACAGCCCAAAAGAGCCCUCAUUUAUCCGGGAAGCACCGGCGUGACUCCGGUAAAAUCCUGCAAUUCCUGCCCGCACGCAAGCACACGGGAGCACACACACCCCCUGAAUACCAAAGAAAAGAAAAAUUAAUUUGACCACCUGACAACGGCCUCCUGUGUGUCUGUGCUCCACUCACCGCGGCUAAUUUCCUACACCCUGUAAAACCUAUACAGCCUAUAUAACUGUGGGGGAGACGCAUCAAAUCAUCAUAAUGUUAACUCGAACUGGAGGACACAAUAUAGUGUGAUACAAUAACAAAACAAUUCAUUUGUAUUUUCAUACACCAGUAAUAUAAUUAAUGUUUUACAUAUAUCUCUAUAUCCUUUUUUAUUGAAACCAUUUCUUGAAAGGAAACCAGUUGAGGUGCUGAUGACAUGAAAUAUAAAUAUUAAGUGGAAAGACGUAAUAGUGGUAUUUUUGUUACAUUCAUGUUGUAACGGAUAGCUGCACAGUGACGCAGAGGCAGAGUCCGUUCCAUUCCGUGGUGUUUUAAUUAACGGAAGAAAAAAAAAAGAGAUGAAGAGAAGGGUAUGGUCUUCGGAAGCAAUAAAAAGAACAGGUGACCAGGUGAGAGGAAGGUGGGAAUGGCGGAAUUGAUGGUGUGCGUUUGCCAGGGACCAUGCUAGUGCUCUUACUGUGGAUUAUAACCUUGUGGAUAUUGAUUCAGGAGGCUAGCAAACACUUCGAAAAUAUUCUGCCAAGACUCAGCCGGACUCGACUCGGACUUGAGACUGACUCGGUCCCUUUUGGACUCGGACUCGAUUGGUCAAGGACUUGGUCUAGACUCGAACUCGACAAAGGUGGACUCAGACCCAAUACUUGUUAUUGGUACAUGUAAGAAAUAAAAACAGUCCACUGUUGCACCUUUUUUUUUUUUUUUU